rnacentral:rRNA from 1 species
CUACCACAUCCAAGGAAGGCAGCAGGCGCGCAAAUUACCCAAUCCCGACACGGGGAGGUAGUGACAAUAAAUACUGAUACAGGGCUCUUUUGGGUCUUGUAAUUGGAAUGAGUACAAUUUAAAUCCCUUAACGAGGAACAAUUGGAGGGCAAGUCUGGUGCCAGCAGCCGCGGUAAUUCCAGCUCCAAUAGCGUAUAUUAAAGUUGUUGCAGUUAAAAAGCUCGUAGUUGAACCUUGGGCCUGGCUGGCCGGUCCGCCUCACCGCGUGCACUGGUCCGGCCGGGUCUUUCCUUCUGGGGAGCCGCAUGCCCUUCACUGGGUGUGUCGGGGAACCAGGACUUUUACUUUGAAAAAAUUAGAGUGUUCAAAGCAGGCCUAUGCUCGAAUACAUUAGCAUGGAAUAAUAGAAUAGGACGUGUGGUUCUAUUUUGUUGGUUUCUAGGACCGCCGUAAUGAUUAAUAGGGAUAGUCGGGGGCAUCAGUAUUCAAUUGUCAGAGGUGAAAUUCUUGGAUUUAUUGAAGACUAACUACUGCGAAAGCAUUUGCCAAGGAUGUUUUCAUUAAUCAGUGAACGAAAGUUAGGGGAUCGAAGACGAUCAGAUACCGUCGUAGUCUUAACCAUAAACUAUGCCGACUAGGGAUCGGGCGAUGUUAUCUUUUUGACUCGCUCGGCACCUUACGAGAAAUCAAAGUCUUUGGGUCUGGGGGGAGUAUGGUCGCAAGGCUGAAA